GGAUAUAUAAUAGAUUCUACCACUGCAUCGAGGGUGAUACGAUAUUUAUCCACUCGAGACAGUUAAACUUUCAAUUUUAAAACGCGAUGCUCGCCGAGCAUUUUAAAUAUUUAAAAUUUAACUGUCGAGAGUGGAUAAAUAUCGUAUUACACGAGAUUUCGUGGUGGAAUAUGUUUCUCU
rnacentral:sRNA from 1 species